rnacentral:rRNA from 1 species
GAUGAACGCUGGCGGCGUGCCUAAUACAUGCAAGUCGAGCGAACGGACGAGAAGCUUGCUUCUCUGAUGUUAGCGGCGGACGGGUGAGUAACACGUGGAUAACCUACCUAUAAGACUGGGAUAACUUCGGGAAACCGGAGCUAAUACCGGAUAAUAUUUUGAACCGCAUGGUUCAAAAGUGAAAGACGGUCUUGCUGUCACUUAUCGAUGGAUCCGCGCUGCAUUAGCUAGUUGGUAAGGUAACGGCUUACCAAGGCAACGAUGCAUAGCCGACCUGAGAGGCUGAUCGGCCACACUGGAAGUGAGACACGGUCCAGACUCCUACGGGAGGCAGCAGUAGGGAAUCUUCGGCAAUGGGCGAAAGCCUGACGGAGCAACGCCGCGUGAGUGAUGAAGGUCUUCGGAGCGUAAAACUCUGUUAUUAGGGAAGAACAUAUGUGUAAGGAACUGUGCACAUCGUGACGGUACCUAAUCAGAAAGCCACGGCUAACUACGUG